rnacentral:misc_RNA from 1 species
GAUGAAGAACGCAGCGAAAUGCGAUACGUAGUGUGAAUUGCAGAAUUCAGUGAAUCAUCGAAUCUUUGAACGCACAUUGCACCUCUCGGUAUUCCGGGAGGUAUGCCUGUUCGAGCGUCAUUUGUACCCUCAAGCUCUGCUUGGUGUUGGGUGUUUGUUCCGCCUCUGUGUGUGAACUCGCCUCAAAACAAUUGGCAGCCGGCGUACUUGUUUCGGAGCGCAGCACAUUUUGCGAUCCAGAUCAACGUACAGCGGCAUCCAAGAAGCCUUAUUUAACGCUCUUGACCUCGGAUCAGGUAGGGAUACCUGCUGAACUUAAGCAUAUCAAUAAGCGGAGA